ACGGGCGUGGUAUAACGGUAUUACGCCAGCCAACAGGCUGUUGAUGCAGGUUCAAGUCCUGCUGCCCGUUCCA
rnacentral:tRNA from 1 species